UCCUACGGGAGGCAGCAGUUAGGAAUUUUGCGCAAUGGGCGAAAGCCUGACGCAGCAACGCCGCGUGAGGGAAGAAGGCCUUCGGGUUGUAAACCUCUUUUAGCAAGGACGAACACAAUGACGGUACUUGCAGAAAAAGCACCGGCUAACUACGUGCCAGCAGCCGCGGUAAUACGUAGGGUGCAAGCGUUAUUCGGAUUUAUUGGGCGUAAAGCGCAUGCAGGCGGUUUGGUAAGUCUGGUGUGAAAGCCCUCGACUCAAUCGAGGAAGUGCAUUGGAUACUGUCAGACUAGAGUGCAGGAGGGGUGAGCGGAAUUCCAGGUGUAGAGGUGAAAUUCGUAGAUAUCUGGAGGAACAACAGCGGCGAAGGCGGCUCACUGGACUGUAACUGACGCUCAGAUGCGACAGUGUGGGGAGCGAACAGGAUUAGAUACCCGUGUAGUCAA
rnacentral:rRNA from 1 species